GUGAGGAAUAUUGCACAAUGGGGGCAACCCUGAUGCAGCGACGCCGCGUGGGUGAUGACGGCCUUCGGGUUGUAAAGCCCUUUUGCCAUUGACGAGAACGGACGGUAGAUGGCGAAUAAGCCUCGGCUAACUACGUGCCAGCAGCCGCGGUAAAACGUAGGAGGCGAGCGUUAUCCGGAGUUACUGGGCGUAAAGCGUGCGCAGGCGGUGCCAUAAGUCAGGUGUGAAAGGUUCCGGCUCAACCGGGAAAACGCGCUUGAGACUGUGGGACUAGAGUGGGAUAGAGGGACGUGGAAUUCCGGGUGGAGCGGUGAAAUGUGUAGAGAUCCGGAGGAACACCAGAGGCGCAAGCGGCGUCCUGGGUCCCAACUGACGCUGAGGCACGAAAGCUUGGGGAGCGAACGGGAUUAGAAACCCUUGUAGUCC
rnacentral:rRNA from 1 species